GUAUCGAGCCGUCCCCUCUACUGUGUUGUGUGUAGCCUUUUCUUCUAUUUCUUCCGUUCGCCCCGAGCCACCGCGCUCUCAGCAGAGACUUCUCCGACCGUAUCAUGUUGUUGGUGUUGUGUGCUCGAGAGUGGACCACAAAGACUUUAUUUUAUCGACAUUAUACUCAGCGCGACAAGUCACGUCACAACAGUCAUGGCAGCGUGCUGGCGGAACGGUUACACCACGUGCUACGCUGAGCAUCCACAUUAUCGACAGUCACACUGGUUAGGUGUAACACCGACAAGCACAAAGCUUUAUGAGCUGAACUUACUUACUUGACUCAGCGCAGUGAAGAAGUGAAGGACGGCCCAGGCAUUCCUGCUGGACGAAAAUCAAGAAAAACAUCUUGGAGCGGAAGUCAUCGUCACGUCCUUGAGCUAAACUAAAAGGAUGCUUGGCAUGAUAGUGCAGUUCACAUCUACUUCAGCCAGUGCGUGGAUGUCCUCCUGGAAUUCGACACCGCCAGUAAACCAUG